UACGAAGGGGGCUAGCGUUGUUCGGAAUUACUGGGCGUAAAGCGCGCGUAGGCGGUGAUCCAUGUCAGAGGUGAAAGCCCGGGGCUCAACUCCGGAAUUGCCUUUGAAACGGGAUCGCUAGAGUCCGAGAGAGGAUGGCGGAAUUCCUAGUGUAGAGGUGAAAUUCGUAGAUAUUAGGAAGAACACCGGUGGCGAAGGCGGCCAUCUGGCUCGGUACUGACGCUCAGGCGCGAAAGCGUGGGGAGCGAACAGG
rnacentral:rRNA from 1 species